UACCGCCUGGGGAGUACGGUCGCAAGACUAAAACUCAAAGAAAUUGACGGGGGCCCGCACAAGCGGUGGAGCAUGUGGUUUAAUUCGACGCAACGCGAAGAACCUUACCUGGGUUUGACAUCUGUCGUAUCUCUUGGAAACUUGAGAGUGCUCCUUCGGGGAACGACAAGACAGGUGCUGCAUGGCUGUCGUCAGCUCGUGUCGUGAGAUGUUGGGUUAAGUCCCGCAACGAGCGCAACCCUUGCCUCUAGUUGCCAUCAUUAAGUUGGGUACUCUAGAGGGACUGUACCCGGUCAACGGGGAGGAAGGUGGGGAUGACGUCAAGUCCUCAUGGCCUUUAUAUCCAGGGCUACACACGUGCUACAAUGGUCGGUACAAAGGGCAGCUACCCCGCAAGGGCAAGCCAAUCCCAAAAAGCCGAUCUCAGUUCGGAUUGGAGUCUGCAACUCGACUCCANGAAGUUGGAAUCGCUAGUAAUCGUGGAUCAGCAUGCCACGGUGAAUACGUUCCCGGGCCUUGUACACACCGCCCGUCACACCA
rnacentral:rRNA from 1 species